GGUUUUAUACUUUAAAAUAAAAAGAAUUGUUUUGCAAACAAGAAAUGAGAGUACUCUUAAACCA
rnacentral:tRNA from 1 species